rnacentral:rRNA from 1 species
UACGGAGGGAGCGAACGUUGUUCGGAUUUACUGGGCGUAAAGGGCGUGUAGGCGGCUUCGCAAGUCAGAGGUGAAAUUUCUCGGCUCAACCGGGAACCUGCCUUUGAAACUGCAGAGCUUGAGGUCGUGAGAGGAGACUGGAAUUCCUAGUGUAGCGGUGAAAUGCAUAGAUAUUAGGAAGAACACCAGUGGCGAAGGCGAGUCUCUGGCACGAUUCUGACGCUGAUGCGCGAAAGCUAGGGGAGCGAACGGG